ensembl:lncRNA
GUUCAUGUCUCAAAAAAGAGUUUAACGAUUUUCCUCUUAACUGAGACCCCCAAAUCAAUUCUGAUUUGAGUCCUCAAUUCAACUAUUUAUAUAUUUCAGGUACCAUGUUCAUUUUUUUUUCAGUGAAUGGAAUUAUUUAUACUUUUCAGACUAAUUUCAAUCAGUAACUCAUCUUUGUGAACUUAAUGUAAAGAACCGACUCGGAGAACUGGCUUUAAGGUGACCAGAUUUCUAAAAUGAAGUCUUGUACCAAUCCCCCAAAACUUUGUAUGUGAGGUACAAUCAGUUUUAGUAACAUACAAAUUCUUACCCUUCUUCAGAGCCCACGGCAAAGGCCUAAUUCUCUUAUUAUCUUUCUCACAGGUGGUGACCUGUCCCAAUGCUUCUUUCAAUGACCUGACCAAAAUAGUGUCCAGAAUUAGAGCCAGUGAAGCAGGCUGUCAUGGAAGACAGAGCAGCAGCUGGAGAAUUACGUGGAGAAAAUGGAUAUCAAGAUCACAAAGACAGAAAAUCCAAAAUGCUUACCUCAGAAUGUGAGACCAUCUGCACUAAAAUAAAACACCUGUUGUUCUUCUACCUUCGACUUCAUCAACGGAUAAGCCAGUCAUCUUCCUUCAAAAGCCACAGGCUGACAAAACUUGCUGUCAGAAUCGUAGUGGCCUUCGUCGUAUUCAGCACCCCCUGUAUGAUCAACAACUUUGUGUUAAUGGCAUUCUCAUGGGAAUCAGAUGUCAGCAACAAUGUAACCGGGGCUCUUUUCUUUAUCAACAAUUGUGUGAACCCCUUUCUUUAUGCCUUUUCAGCUCGAACCCUACGAUGCAGAAGAAAAAGAGCAUUCAGUCAAGCCACAACAACAUCAGAAUGAAACUGAAAAUGGUAAGGAAUGUGGUCAUGCUGAGGCAGGUAAACGAUACUCGUCUUCUGACUGCAGCUUUUAAAGAGAGAUGACCUUUCUGAACACACAAUAAAGGAACUUCAACCUCUACA